ACAUGCAGUCGAGCGAAUGGAUUAAGAGCUUGCUCUUAUGAAGUUAGCGGCGGACGGGUGAGUAACACGUGGGUAACCUGCCCAUAAGACUGGGAUAACUCCGGGAAACCGGGGCUAAUACCGGAUAAUAUUUUGAACUGCAUGGUUCGAAAUUGAAAGGCGGCUUCGGCUGUCACUUAUGGAUGGACCCGCGUCGCAUUAGCUAGUUGGUGAGGUAACGGCUCACCAAGGCAACGAUGCGUAGCCGACCUGAGAGGGUGAUCGGCCACACUGGGACUGAGACACGGCCCAGACUCCUACGGGAGGCAGCAGUAGGGAAUCUUCCGCAAUGGACGAAAGUCUGACGGAGCAACGCCGCGUGAGUGAUGAAGGCUUUCGGGUCGUAAAACUCUGUUGUUAGGGAAGAACAAGUGCUAGUUGAAUAAGCUGGCACCUUGACGGUACCUAACCAGAAAGCCACGGCUAACUACGUGCCAGCAGCCGCGGUAAUACGUAGGUGGCAAGCGUUAUCCGGAAUUAUUGGGCGUAAAGCGCGCGCAGGUGGUUUCUUAAGUCUGAUGUGAAAGCCCACGGCUCAACCGUGGAGGGUCAUUGGAAACUGGGAGACUUGAGUGCAGAAGAGGAAAGUGGAAUUCCAUGUG
rnacentral:rRNA from 1 species